rnacentral:rRNA from 1 species
CCCUACGGGGCGCAGCAGGCGCGAAAACUUUACAAUGCGAGAAAUCGUGAUAAGGGAACCCCGAGUGCCCGUAAAUUCGGGCUGUUAAUCUGUGUAAAAAGCAGGUGGAGAAAGGGCCGGGCAAGACCGGUGCCAGCCGCCGCGGUAAUACCGGCGGCUCGAGUGGUGGCCACUAUUACUGGGCUUAAAGCGUCCGUAGCUGGAUUGUUAAGUCUCUUGGGAAAUCUACCGGCUUAACCG